ensembl:snRNA U6 U6 spliceosomal RNA
GUACUUUCUUUGGCAGUACAUAUACUAAAAUUGGAGCAAUACAGAGAAGAUUAGCAUGACCCCUGCACAAGGAUGAAUCACAAAUUUGUGAAGUGUUCCAUAUUUUU